rnacentral:rRNA from 1 species
CUCGUAGGCGGCCAACUAAGUCGGACGUGAAAUCCCCAGGCUCAACCUGGGAACUGCGUCCGAUACUGGAUGGCUUGAAUCCGGGAGAGGGAUGCAGAAUUCCAGGUGUAGCGGUGAAAUGCGUAGAUAUCUGGAGGAAUACCGGUGGCGAAGGCGGCAUCCUGGACCGGCAUUGACGCUGAGGAGCGAAAGCCAGGGGAGCAAACG